rnacentral:snRNA from 1 species
UGUCGCACCACGAGGCGCU